GCUAAUUUGGCAGAUAAGUGUUUUAAAUUUAGAAUUUAAUUAUGUAAUUAAUAUUAUAGUUAGUA
rnacentral:tRNA from 1 species